GUGUUGGCAAGGUCCAAGCCAUCUGAUCUGAUUCAAAUGUUUCAAUCUCAAGCGUCCAUUGUGAUUAUCAAGCCUGCAGUGCAUUGACUAAGGACCAUUGUGGAACGCACGCGCUUGGCCAUCAGAUCUGCCACCUCAAUUAAUGAGGAAGAUCUGAUGACCCUUGUUUUUUUGAAUUUUAUUUUAUUUUCUUAUUUUU
rnacentral:lncRNA from 1 species